UACAGAGGGUGCGAGCGUUAAUCGGAAUUACUGGGCGUAAAGCGCGCGUAGGCGGCUUUGCAAGUCGGGUCGAGAACCUCCCAGGCUUAACCUGGGAACUGCAUUCGAGACUGCAUUGCUAGAGUAUGGGAGAGGGAAGUGGAAUUUCCGGUGUAGCGGUGAAAUGCGUAGAUAUCGGAAGGAACAUCAGUGGCGAAAGCGACUUCCUGGACCAAUACUGACGCUCAUGUGCGAAAGCGUGGGGAGCAAACAGG
rnacentral:rRNA from 1 species